rnacentral:rRNA from 1 species
UACGGAGGAUGCGAGCGUUAUCCGGAUUUAUUGGGUUUAAAGGGUGCGUAGGCGGGAUGCCAAGUCGGCGGUAAAAAUGCGGUGCUCAACGCCGUCGAGCCGUUGAAACUGGCGUUCUUGAGUGGGCGAGAAGUAUGCGGAAUGCGUGGUGUAGCGGUGAAGUGCAUAGAUAUCACGCAGAACUCCGAUUGCGAAGGCAGCAUACCGGCGCCCUACUGACGCUGAGGCACGAAAGCGUGGGUAUCGAACAGG